UUUGAUCAUGGCUCAAAACGAACGCUGGCGGCGGGGCUUAGGCUUGCAAGUCGAGCGAGAAAGGGGCAACCCGAGUAAAGCGGCGUAGGGGUGAGUAAUGGGUAGCUAACGUACCUUCCAAACGCAAAUAAUUUUCCAAAAGGGAUUGUAAUGCGCGAUGAGACCACCCUCUGUACGCAAAGAGGGGUCAAAGGCCGGGGAUCCUUCGGGACCCGACGGCUGGAAAAGCGGGCGACCUCCGAUUAGCUAGUUGGCGGGGUAACGGCCCACCAAGGCAAUGAUCGGUAGCCGGGCUGAAAGGCUGUCCGGCCACACUGGCACUGAAACACUGGCCAAACUCCUACGGGAGGCUGCAUUCGCGAAUUUUUCACAAUGGGCGCUAGCCUGAUGAACCCACGCCGUGUGCGGAAUGAAGGCUCUCUGAUUUGUAAACCGCUGUCAAGUGAAGGGAAACGUACGGUGUUAACAGCGCCGUGCUCGACUGUCCGCUAAAGGAAGCCCCGGCAAAACAUGUGCCA
rnacentral:rRNA from 1 species